rnacentral:ncRNA from 1 species
CCCUUCCCAACGGGCGGCGGGCUGAAUCCUUUGCAGACGACUUAAAUACGCGACGGGGCAUUGUAAGUGGCAGAGUGGCCUUGCUGCCACGAUCCACUGAGAUCCAGCCCCGCGUCGCACGGAUUCGU